rnacentral:rRNA from 1 species
GUACGUACAAGCAGUGGGAGCACCCUUCGGGGUGUGACUGCGUACCUUUUGUAUAAUGGGUCAGCGACUUAUAUUCUGUAGCAAGGUUAACCGUAUAGGGGAGCCGGAGGGAAACCGAGUCUUAACCGGGCGUUAAGUUGCAGGGUAUAGACCCGAAACCCGGUGAUCUAGCCAUGGGCAGGUUGAAGGUUGGGUAACACUAACUGGAGGACCGAACCGACUAAUGUUGAAAAAUUAGCGGAUGACCUGUGGCUGGGGGUGAAAGGCCAAUCAAACCGGGAGAUAGCUGGUUCUCCCCGAAAGCUAUUUAGGUAGCGCCUCGUGAAUUCAUCUCCGGGGGUAGAGCACUGUUUCGGCUAGGGGGCCAUCCCGGCUUACCAACCCGAUGCAAACUGCGAAUACCGGAGAAUGUUAUCACGGGAGACACACGGCGGGUGCUAACGUCCGUCGUGAAGAGGGAAACAACCCAGACCGCCAGCUAAGGUCCCAAAGUCAUGGUUAAGUGGGAAACGAUGUGGGAAGGCCCAGACAGCCAGGAUGUUGGCUUAGAAGCAGCCAUCAUUUAAAGAAAGCGUAAUAGCUCACUGGUCGAGUCGGCCUGCGCGGAAGAUGUAACGGGGCUAAACCAUGCACCGAAGCUGCGGCAGCGAACGUAUCACCCAAGACAACUUUACGGAGUUGACGAUUGACGGAGCGAAGCGACGUCAAAGCGUUCAUUAAAGUCGAGUUGGCUUAGGGAUACGUUCGUUGGGUAGGGGAGCGUUCUGUAAGCCUGUGAAGGUGUGUCGUGAGGCAUGCUGGAGGUAUCAGAAGUGCGAAUGCUGACAUAAGUAACGAUAAAGCGGGUGAAAAGCCCGCUCGCCGGAAGACCAAGGGUUCCUGUCCAACGUUAAUCGGGGCAGGGUGAGUCGACCCCUAAGGCGAGGCCGAAAGGCGUAGUCGAUGGGAAACGGGUUAAUAUUCCCGUACUUGGUGUUACUGCGAAGGGGGGACGGAGAAGGCUAUGUUGGCCGGGCGACGGU